rnacentral:rRNA from 1 species
GAUGAACGCUGGCGGCGUGCCUAAUACAUGCAAGUCGAGCGAACAGACGAGGAGCUUGCUCCUCUGACGUUAGCGGCGGACGGGUGAGUAACACGUGGGUAACCUACCUAUAAGACUGGGAUAACUUCGGGAAACCGGAGCUAAUACCGGAUAAUAUUUCGAACCGCAUGGUUCGAUAGUGAAAGAUGGCUCUGCUAUCACUUAUAGAUGGACCUGCGCCGUAUUAGCUAGUUGGUAAGGUAACGGCUUACCAAGGCAACGAUACGUAGCCGACCUGAGAGGGUGAUCGGCCACACUGGAACUGAGACACGGUCCAGACUCCUACGGGAGGCAGCAGUAGGGAAUCUUCCGCAAAGGGCGAAAGCCUGACGGAGCAACGCCGCGUGAGUGAUGAAGGUCUUCGGAUCGUAAAACUCUGUUAUUAGGGAAGAACAAACGUGUAAGUAACUGUGCACGUCUUGACGGUACCUAAUCAGAAAGCCACGGCUAACUACGUG